GGACGGCCACGUGGCCGGACACGGGGAGAGGGAGCAGGGACGGGCGAGGCCCGUCUUCCCGUCACCCGGAGGCCAUUAUGUGUUCAGAAACACGUGUUCCGACUCAGACAGGCUUCAAGGCUGCCACAGAGGGCAGUGUGCCCUGGGCCAGCGGCCCACACCGCAGCAGCCGGACACCGCGCCCGAGCAGAGCAGGCAAAAUGUGUUCUCGCUCUGUGACUCCAGCGCUCUGUGCUCAGACUUCACUGCACAGGAGCAGGGGGUGCGCCAUGGAUAGGCAGCGGUCAGCGCCAAUGUCCUGGGGCCAGUGAGUCGAGUCAGCAUGUACACACACACACCAGGGAGCCGGGCUCCUCACAGCAGGGCUCCGCCAGACAGUGCCACAGGGCACGAGAAGCGCAGAAAAAGAGAAGGAAAAUAAGCGGGUGAAAGACUGUGCUCAGUGCAGGUCAGAACACGGGGAAUGCUGUGCAGGAAGCAGCCAUGAAGUCUCGGCCUCAACUCCUGCCAGGCUACUCCGCCAUUCCAGAAGCACAGAAGCAAAAGAAGCCAGGCCUGCACCACACCCUCCUCACUCGGGCUGGCCGGGCCUGGGCCUUGGAGUCCCCUAGUCUUCCACACCGCACCCGGGGAGGCUGGGUGGCUCCCACGGGCAGGCGGCCUGGAUACGCGGUGACCCUGAGCAUGAGCAGCUCAGACGCCUCGGCCGGACAGGGAGCAUUCCCGGUGACCAAGCAGCAGCAUCGGAGACGUCAUGCGGAACUCGCUUCCCCUGCGGCUGUAAUGCGCGUGCCAUCGUUCUGGCUCUGUGGCCCCCCUGACCAGAGACACCCCGCGGACGGCCACCUGCCACAGCCCUGA
rnacentral:lncRNA from 1 species